rnacentral:lncRNA from 1 species
AAACACAUAUAUUAAGAAAAUUAAUUUUAGUAUUAAAUUGGUAGAUAAAUCAUACUAAUAUUUAAGAAAAUAACAAAAAAAAAAGUAUGAGAAGUCCUAGUUACUUUUCGUUUGAUCAGAACCAGCCCUUACGCGCUCUUCUUCGUUUCCAUUUCAUAAUAAAUGCAGAAAACCAAACUACCCCCUUCCUUUCUGCUAUAUUCUUUAAUUCUUUCAUUGGAAAUAGAUUUAUUCUCUUGUCCCCAAAUAAAAAUCUGUCUUGUCAACUUUUUUGUUUAAUCUCUCACCCGCCCCUAACAAAUAUGAAGAGGAAGACUGUGGUGUCA